AUCAGUUCUAUAAGAGAGCGUGUGCCGAAGGCCUCGGCCUUUCACAUUCGGGAAGCGUCGGGAUUAGGUGAAAGUACGUAGUUGUCUUUCGUAAGUUAAAAUGAUAAUUGGGCCGAAACUUACUGCCUUACCUAAAAGGCAGCGCAGUCAGGAUAUUGGUAGGUCGGGGGCGGCUUUGGAAACCCUUAAGUUUACAAGCAUGCGCGGACUUGAGUGCUCAUUAGGUCGCCGGGCGUCCACGUGCAGCCCUGGACCCUGAACCCCGGCGUGCGUGGGCCGUGGGCCCUCGGGGAAAGGUUCCGUGCACUCGGGGACUCCGGUGAAGCCUGUUCAGCCGUCUGUGUCAUGUGGCCAUCUUGAGUCUACUCUGUCGCUCUUGUGCCCUAGCACCCCGAGAACCGUCAGUUUGAGCCAGAUGGUGAGUAAUAACCUGUAGCAGUUUGGUUGCUGGUUAAUUCUGGAUUGUGAAUCUCCAUGUAUCUUUGGGACCUGUCAGCCGUGGCAGUCUCCCUUCCUAGCCAUGGAAGAGCAUAUCCUUGUUUAUUGGCAAAGCUGUCACCAUUUAAUUGGUAUCAGAUUCUGACUUGCACAAGUAACAUUCACUGUUAAAAACCUAGAGGGUGCCGGGUUAUUGGGCAAAAUUUCUAAACCGUUGUUCAAUGUUUCUAGGAAGCUGAGCUGAACACAUUACGAUGGAUGAUGGAAACAUAAGACUAUCAAGAAAUCCAAGUGGUAAUGGGCGAAGUUUAUUCAGCAUCCGGCAAUGGACUUAUCGUAGUUGGGGAAACGGGUGUUCCGAAUAAUAUCCUGGAAGUUAUCAGGACACCUAUUUUAAAUAUAGGCCUGAAUUUUGUAAAGUAAUAUUUAAGGUGGUCCGUGAUAAUUAAAUAAAAUGCUUAAUUCAUGUGGCUA
ensembl:lncRNA SNHG8 small nucleolar RNA host gene 8